CUCACGUAGUGCUUGUCGAAAGUGUUCUGACAACUUUGCAUAAGGUUUGCAAAUAAACAAUGCGGUUAAGGGACAAAUUGAAAACCAGUUACUUGGUAUUACACACACACAUACACAUAUAUGGUGCAUAUGUAGGCCAAAUAGAUUGAUCGACGCUUCAAUGUCAUCCGUCUGGGUAGGCCAUCAUGUACCGAAUAAAGCAAAAAAAAAAUUUAAUUGAAAAAAUUGCACAUGCAUUAUACUCGUAUAUCACUACUAAUGGGUUUGCUGCCUGAUAAGGCUGACUCAUUGAUGAGUGCCUAUGCCGGCGCUGAUGAUUGCAUGCUAGGUUUGAGGACCGCGUGGGCAAAGUUAUCAAUGUGUGAAAAAGUGAUCAACAAAAUUUCCAUACGAAAAUAUUAUCAUAUUAAUGACUGGCCAAAUCGAUAUCGGAAAACGAAGAUAUCAGAUAGACAACGCAAUUAAUAUUUAUAUAUAUGUACAAUACAAUAAAAGCUAGACGGUUUAUGUAUAAAUGUAGGUUUAUCUAAUUAUCGACAUUCAAUCAAUGAGAAAUUACAACAAAAAGAAUUUUUUUUUUGAAAAUAUCUAAAAAGUGCGCCCAAACACUUAGGAUAUACCACAUAUGUACAUAUGUAUGUAUGUAUAUGAUAUAUAAUUUUCUACCGUGAAAUCGAUAUACAUAUGUACAUAUUUCCAUAUUUGUACACAAAAUUUCCCGUUUGAUAAUCAUACGUACACAUGUAUGUAAUUACGUAAAUUUAUUUAAAAAACAAUUAAUUUGAUUGGAAAUUAUUUAAUACAGAUAAAUGUCAUUAUCAGCCAGUUCGCCAUCAAUCAUCAGAGCCACGCGCUAUGGUGCUCCAAAUCAUGCAUAUUCAUAUAAAAAUAUAUUUAUACAUACCUACUUAAGUGUGCUGCCUGUAAUUAUAAAUUUUUGACGUCAGCUACUGUAUUUGGAAAUACAUAUGAACACAACACUACA